UACAGAGGGUGCAAGCGUUAAUCGGAAUUACUGGGCGUAAAGCGUGCGUAGACGGUUACAUAAGUCGGGUGUGAAAGCCCCGGGCUCAACCUGGGAAUUGCAUUCGAGACUGCGUAGCUAGGGUGCGGAAGAGGGAAGCGGAAUUUCCGGUGUAGCGGUGAAAUGCGUAGAUAUCGGAAGGAACAUCAGUGGCGAAAGCGACUUCCUGGACCAGUACCGACGUUCAGGCACGAAAGCGUGGGGAGCAAACAGG
rnacentral:rRNA from 1 species